CUGAAAUAAACACAGAUACACUUUUGCUGUUCAGAGACUCAACCCUCUUCAACAUUAACGAAGCUCUGGUCUGUGCUGUCUUCAUCCUGCUGGUGCUGUCUGUGUUCACAGAGGCCAAGGUGAGGCAUCCUUCAACCACAGAGGUCAAGGUGAAUGGAACCAAAAUGCCAGACAAGGCAAUCGGGGGCAAGCACCCUGACUCUUCCGUUUUUGCUGUAGUUGGGGCUGAUGGUUGCACCUGCCUUACUUCAAACUCUGCUGUAACACUUGGUAUGCUCUCAUUGCACAGUAGUCUGCAGAACUUCUGCAACAACAGUGGCAACAACAUAAGAAUAACUUCUAUGACUAGGCCUACUAUAUUUACUGGUACUGUAGACCUAGCUGACCCGUUUCCAUGAUUGAACACCAUGAAAGACCCAAAUGAUCUUGCAAUAAUCAUACAGAUACACAAAUAAAGUUGUGCAUCUACACUCUUCUUGAUAUUUUCUUUCUCUGUCUGAUAGAUGGAGCCACAUGCAGACUGUGCCUAUGACAUAUUGUGGGCUAGGGAUAGGCUAGGCAUUAGCCUUGGAAAAAUGACAAAACGUUGAUAGUGCUGGAAAACGCACAGCAGAACAUAGAAGAGACAAGAUGUCAAAUGGAAAGCAAUACCUCCACCUGUUUUCAAAAAUGCUUUCACACAUACAAUGCCUAUAGAAAGUCUGUACCCCCUUGAACUUUUGGGGGGGGGGGCAUUACAAAGUGGAAUUGAAUUAUAUUUAAUUGUACAUUUUUGCCAUUGAUCUACACAAAAUACUCCAUAAUGUCAAAGGGAAAAGGAAAUUCUACACAUUUGUACAAAUGAAUAGAAAAUGUUUCACUAAACUAUAGUUGUCACAUAAGUGUUUAUACCCUUCGUUUAGGCAAUCCUAAAUUAGUUUCGAAGUAACAUUUGGGGCUACUACAGACCCGGGUUCGAUCCCAGCCUGUUUCACAACCGGCAGUGACCGGGAGUCC